UACGUAGGUGGCAAGCGUUGUUCGGAAUUAUUGGGCGUAAAGGGCGCGUAGGCGGUUGGUUAAGUCAGCUGUGAAAGCCCGGGGCUCAACCCCGGAGGGUCGGCUGAUACUGAUUGACUAGAGUACGGAAGAGGUAGCUGGAAUUCCCGGUGUAGCGGUGAAAUGCGCAGAUAUCAGGAAGAACACCCGUGGCGAAGGCGGCUCUCUGGAACGCAACUGACGCUGAGACGCGAAAGCGUGGGGAGCAAACAGG
rnacentral:rRNA from 1 species